ACCAACACUAGCCUGACUUUAUUCCUCUUCCAACAAAUAUAGAACAUCUGACUAAAUCAUUCACCACCAGACUUAACAGUAUAGGAGAUAGAAAAUUUACUCAGCGCUAUAGAAAAAGUACCGCAAGGGAAAGGUGAAAGAAUUCCUUAAAGUAUAAAAAAGCAAAGUUUACCUCUUGUACCUUUUGCAUAAUGACUUAACCAGAAAUAGCUUGACAAAAAGAAUUUCAGCCAAAAGCCCCGAAACUAGACGAGCUACCCACAAAUAGUUAUAUAAGAACGUACUCAUCUAUGUAGCAAAAUAGUGAGAAAAUCUGUGAGUAGAGGUGAAAAACCUAACGAGCCUAGUGAUAGCUGGUUGUCCAGGAAAGAAUUUCAGUUCAGCCUUAAAUUUACCCAAAGUACUCUAAAACCCAACGUAAAUUUAAUUGUUAUUCUAAAGAGGGACAGCUCUUUAGACCAGGCUACAACCUUUAGUAGAGAGUCAAUAACAUCAACACCAUUGUUGGCCUAAAAGCAGCCACCAACUAAGAAAGCGUUAAAGCUCAACACACAAUAUACCUCAAUUCCAAACUCCCAAACUAAACCCCUACUAACAAACUGGACCGACCUAUUACUUAAUAGAAGUGACACUGUUAAUAUAAGUAACAAGAAUUUAAAUUCUCCUAGCACAAGCCUAUAUCAGAUCGGAUGCCCACUGAUAAUUAACAAUAAAGUAAUAAUUAAAUAUAUCCAAUAGAAUUUACUCUAAACAACUGUUAACCCAACACAGGUGUGCACUAAGGAAAGAUUUAAAAAAGUAAAAGGAACUCGGCAAUAAUUAACCCCGCCUGUUUACCAAAAACAUCACCUCUAGCAUGACUAGUAUUAGAGGCACUGCCUGCCCAGUGACGUACGUUAAACGGCCGCGGUAUCCUGACCGUGCAAAGGUAGCAUAAUCACUUGUUCUUUAAUUAAGGACUUGAAUGAAUGGCCACACGAGGGUUUAACUGUCUCUUACUUUAAAUCAGUGAAAUUGACCUUCCCGUGAAGAGGCGGGAAUUAUAUAAUAAGACGAGAAGACCCUAUGGAGCUUAAAUUGAAUAACCCAAAUAGAUCUGUAUAAACCUAACAAUAGACAUAAAUAACUAUCAAUCCAUUGGGUUAAAGAUUUCGGUUGGGGUGACCUCGGAGCAUAACACAACCUCCGAAAAAAUUUCAACUUAGACCUUACUAGUCAAAGUAACUCCAAUUACUAACUGAUCCAAAUUAGUUUGAUCAACGGAAUAAGUUACCCUAGGGAUAACAGCGCAAUCCUAUUUUAGAGUCCAUAUCGACAAUAGGGUUUACGACCUCGAUGUUGGAUCAGGACACCCCAAUGGUGUAACCGCUAUUAAAGGUCCGUUUGUUCAACGGUUAAAGUCCUACGUGAUCUGAGUUCAGACCGGAGCAAUCCAGGUCGGUUUCUAUCUAUUUAAACGCUUCUCCCAGUACGAAAGGACAAGAGAAACAGGACCAACUCAACAAAGAGCCCUCAGUUCAAUAGAUGAAAUAAGCUCAAUCUAAUAUAUUAUUUCCAACCCUGCCCGAAAUCAGGGCUU
rnacentral:rRNA from 1 species